rnacentral:rRNA from 1 species
AGAUUAAGUUAUUAAGGGCGCACGGUGGAUGCCUUGGCACUAGAAGCCGAUGAAGGACGUUACUAACGACGAUAUGCUUUGGGGAGCUGUAAGUAAGCUUUGAUCCAGAGAUUUCCGAAUGGGGAAACCCAGCAUGAGUUAUGUCAUGUUAUCGAUAUGUGAAUACAUAGCAUAUCAGAAGGCACACCCGGAGAACUGAAACAUCUUAGUACCCGGAGGAAGAGAAAGAAAAUUCGAUUCCCUUAGUAGCGGCGAGCGAAACGGGAAGAGCCCAAACCAACAAGCUUGCUUGUUGGGGUUGUAGGACACUCUGUACGGAGUUACAAAGGACGACAUUAGACGAAUCAUCUGGAAAGAUGAAUCAAAGAAGGUAAUAAUCCUGUAGUCGAAAAUGUUGUCUCUCUUGAGUGGAUCCUGAGUACGACGGAGCACGUGAAAUUCCGUCGGAAUCUGGGAGGACCAUCUCCUAAGGCUAAAUACUCUCUAGUGACCGAUAGUGAACCAGUACCGUGAGGGAAAGGUGAAAAGCACCCCGGAAGGGGAGUGAAAUAGAACCUGAAACCGUGUGCUUACAAGUAGUCAGAGCCCGUUAAUGGGUGAUGGCGUGCCUUUUGUAGAAUGAACCGGCGAGUUACGAUUUGAUGCAAGGUUAAGCAGUAAAUGUGGAGCCGUAGCGAAAGCGAGUCUGAAUAGGGCGUUUAGUAUUUGGUCGUAGACCCGAAACCAGGUGAUCUACCCUUGGUCAGGUUGAAGUUCAGGUAACACUGAAUGGAGGACCGAACCGACUUACGUUGAAAAGUGAGCGGAUGAACUGAUGGUAGCGGAGAAAUUCCAAUCGAACCUGGAGAUAGCUGGUUCUCUCCGAAAUAGCUUUAGGGCUAGCCUCAAGUGAUGAUUAUUGGAGGUAGAGCACUGUUUGGACGAGGGGCCCCUCUCGGGUUACCGAAUUCAGACAAACUCCGAAUGCCAAUUAAUUUAACUUGGGAGUCAGAACAUGGGUGAUAAGGUCCGUGUUCGAAAGGGAAACAGCCCAGACCACCAGCUAAGGUCCCAAAAUAUAUGUUAAGUGGAAAAGGAUGUGGCGUUGCCCAGACAACUAGGAUGUUGGCUUAGAAGCAGCCAUCAUUUAAAGAGUGCGUAAUAGCUCACUAGUCGAGUGACACUGCGCCGAAAAUGUACCGGGGCUAAACAUAUUACCGAAGCUGUGGAUUGUCCUUUGGACAAUGGUAGGAGAGCGUUCUAAGGGCGUUGAAGCAUGAUCGUAAGGACAUGUGGAGCGCUUAGAAGUGAGAAUGCCGGUGUGAGUAGCGAAAGACGGGUGAGAAUCCCGUCCACCGAUUGACUAAGGUUUCCAGAGGAAGGCUCGUCCGCUCUGGGUUAGUCGGGUCCUAAGCUGAGGCCGACAGGCGUAGGCGAUGGAUAACAGGUUGAUAUUCCUGUACCACCUAUAAUCGUUUUAAUCGAUGGGGGGACGCAGUAGGAUAGGCGAAGCGUGCGAUUGGAUUGCACGUCUAAGCAGUAAGGCUGAGUAUUAGGCAAAUCCGGUACUCGUUAAGGCUGAGCUGUGAUGGGGAGAAGACAUUGUGUCUUCGAGUCGUUGAUUUCACACUGCCGAGAAAAGCCUCUAGAUAGAAAAUAGGUGCCCGUACCGCAAACCGACACAGGUAGUCAAGAUGAGAAUUCUAAGGUGAGCGAGCGAACUCUCGUUAAGGAACUCGGCAAAAUGACCCCGUAACUUCGGGAGAAGGGGUGCUCUUUAGGGUUAACGCCCAGAAGAGCCGCAGUGAAUAGGCCCAAGCGACUGUUUAUCAAAAACACAGGUCUCUGCUAAACCGUAAGGUGAUGUAUAGGGGCUGACGCCUGCCCGGUGCUGGAAGGUUAAGAGGAGUGGUUAGCUUCUGCGAAGCUACGAAUCGAAGCCCCAGUAAACGGCGGCCGUAACUAUAACGGUCCUAAGGUAGCGAAAUUCCUUGUCGGGUAAGUUCCGACCCGCACGAAAGGCGUAACGAUUUGGGCACUGUCUCAACGAGAGACUCGGUGAAAUCAUAGUACCUGUGAAGAUGCAGGUUACCCGCGACAGGACGGAAAGACCCCGUGGAGCUUUACUGUAGCCUGAUAUUGAAAUUCGGCACAGCUUGUACAGGAUAGGUAGGAGCCUUUGAAACGUGAGCGCUAGCUUACGUGGAGGCGCUGG